rnacentral:lncRNA from 1 species
UUUUAGGAAAAAGUUGAGAAUGAAUCAGUAAAAGAGUUAUAUUACUGAUGCGGUGUUUCCAGUUAAUCGGAAUGUUUCUUUUUGUUUCGUCCAUUCUAUAAUGAUUAAUAAAAAAAUAUUUUUAGUAUUAUUAUUAUUAUUUUUUUCAAAAAAUGAGAUGUGAUUGGCUGAUUAUAAAAAAUUUUAUUGCCAAUUUUUUUAAAAAAUUAGGUGUUAC